AACGAACGCUGGCGGCAGGCCUAACACAUGCAAGUCGAACGGGAUCUUCGGAUCUAGUGGCGGACGGGUGAGUAACGCGUGGGAACGUGCCCUUUGGUUCGGAAUAGCCCGGGGAAACUGGGAGUAAUACCGGAUAAGCCCUACGGGGGAAAGAUUUAUCGCCAUGGGAUCGGCCCGCGUUGGGUUAGGUAGUUGGUGAGGUAAUGGCUCACCAAGCCGACGAUCCAUAGCUGGUUUGAGAGGAUGAUCAGCCACACUGGGAUUGAGACACGGCCCAGACUCCUACGGGAGGCAGCAGUGGGGAAUCUUAGACAAUGGGGGAAACCCUGAUCUAGCCAUGCCGCGUGAUCGAUGAAGGCCUUAGGGUUGUAAAGAUCUUUCAGUGGGGAAGAUAAUGACUGUACCCACAGAAGAAGCCCCGGCUAACUCCGUGCCAGCCGCCGCGGUAA
rnacentral:rRNA from 1 species